rnacentral:lncRNA from 1 species
AGACAGGAAAUAGGAUCUUAGUGGGUGGCCGCCAAGAGCGCACAGACUUUGAAGCAGGAAAAGACAGUCUCUAGAGCAACAUGGAAAGGAUCCAGAAUCUAAAAUAUUCCUGGAAAUGGAGAGUCCUGACAUGAUGGCCCCAUGAUGAAAAGAACCCAGGUUCCUGAGUCACGACGUGGACAUGAGGCACCAAGGAGAAAACACGUGAACCUUAAUAAGUUUGGGGGUACACCUCCUUGCCAUGUGUUACCUUCUGUCAUGUUAUGAUGCAG